CCCAAUCUUCCUACCCGACCCGCCUGCCCGGCCCGUUUUACCCCUUUCUUUAAUUAAAACCCUAGACCUACACCCUAGGAUAGAGAUAGAAAAAAUCAAGAGCUCCUAGAUUUUUACCCCUGAAGAAACGACGCAUCCCUCUAGAGCUUCUUCUUCUCCAUCUUCAUUUCCAAGAAAAGCUCACACUCAAAAGAGGAGCAACUGUGACCCAUGUUCCCCAUCUCUUAAUAAAGCUUUACCCUUUUGAUAUCUUCUUCGUUUUUCUCAAGAUAGAAAGGGAAAGAAACGCGCGCACACACAAAGAGAAGGAAGAAAACAGAAAAAAGAGAUAGAAACAGAAGCAUUUUCGAAAUGUAAAGCUAAAAAGGGGGUUAAAGAGUUCUUCUUCUUUGGUUUACACUUUUGGAUUUUCCCGAUUUUAGUCUUGUUUUCCAAAAUAAAAGGAAAUUUCGGUUGAAAUCCUCUGUUGCGGAUCUAUUCAUUUGGCUGGAUUCACUCGCUUCAGUUUUGCUGUUUGAUUAGAGUAGAGCUGUGAUUGUUGGGCUUUUCUGCUGAGUUUCGUUGUUCAUGUCAAACAUUCGUUUGUUUAUUAGUUGACUUUCCAUACUUUAGGUAUGUUUUCCUUUUAUUUUAUUUUGUAUUUGGUAUGUUAUGACCUUUCGAUGCUAGAGUUAUGUUUACUGUUCAUAUCUGUUAUUUCAAGUUAAUUUAGGAAUGUUUAGAGUUUUAGUUAUUGAUUUUUUUUAUGUGGUAGGACUUUGUUCUUCAUAAAAAUGUGUUUUAAGUUUUGCGCCGACUUAAUUUGUAUCAAUAUUUAAUAUGAAAGAGGAUGAUUUAAGCUUCAGCUGUUCUUAAAUUAGUUUUUUUUUUGUUUUUUACCAUGAAAGACAGAUUUGUCAUUUAAAUUUUGUAUGUUAAAGAGACCUUUGUUACCUUGUAUUGGAAUUGUUCAUAGUUCUGAUUCUGGUUUUUAAAAAUAGUGGACGAAUUUGCUUAACAAACAUUUUGUUACCAAACAUUGGUAAUCAUGGUUGCCAUAAACUCUUUUGUGAAAGAUUAAAUGCUUAGAUAUUUGUUUUCAUUUGGUGAUGCAAAAAUUAUAGAUGGUUAGACUUUGUAAUUGAUAAUUUAUAUUAUUCCGAUUUAUAUAUAAAUUAGAACUGGUUGAGGAAUUUGGAGUAAAUGAACUCCAAUAUUACAUUGUUUGGCCAUGUGAAUUGUUGAUACUCUUAUUUGCGUUAUUUUGUUAGUAAGGAAUGAUAAGGGAAAAAUUUCCCUUUAGUGUUCCAUACAGAGAACUUUUUGUGCAGUGAGGGUUUGAAUUUGCCUCAAGCACUGUGUGCUUAAGAUUGUUAUCAAAAGAAUUGACGCAAGUCACUGACUAUGGUCAUUGGGAACUAUUUAUGUGUUUGAAGCCGAAUGUUUGGACUUAACUAUUUAGCCCAUUCACAAUUGUCAAUAUUAAGCUAAUGAAUCAUAUGAACAUCCAUAGUUUGCUUUAAUUGAAUACAAAUAUAUUCUUUUAAAAUAAAUUAAGGUGUGCCAUACGCAAACAAAAUCCAUAAUCCAUGGCCCUCAUAAGAUUAGAUUCAAGAACUAGCACUUAUAGAAAAAUGUUUGAGGUGUGCCAUAAAUAAAUUAAAUCAUCCAUGGCCUUCACAAAUGUUGCUAUUGAAGAUUGAAUCGUCGUAGUUACUUUGGGCGCGUUAUUUAAAUAAUUCAUUAUAGCUACGGGUACGGUUCCCGUAACGUAGUUGUGAUUUUUAAUUAUUAAAUUUGGGUGUGCAUUUCAUGUGACCCAAUUUCAAUUCUCAACAACGUUAAAUAGAACGUGUCGAGAACCGCGAGUGCAUUUCAUGUGGCGUGGUUCAAGGCAUGUUUUAAAUAACGUUGAAUCUUCCUAAAAUAAUUAAAAGUGGUUAAUAAGUUUAAAAUGCAUCAUAGGCUAAAACACGUGAUAAAUCGGAUAAUAGGCCAAUUGUAAUAGUUUAAGCGACCGUGCUAGAACCACGAAAUCCGGGAAUGUCUAACAUCUUCUCCCGGGUUAACAAAAUUCCUUACUUAGAAUUUCUGGUUCGCGAACUUCAAAAGGAAAGUCGAAUUUCGUCGAUUUGGGAUUUACAAUAAAUCGGUGACUUGGGACACCAAAUAAACUAUCCCAAGUGGUGACUCUGAAUUGAAUAAAAUAAUUCCAUUUCAAAUAAUGUCACUUUAAUUGGAAAAACUCCCUUAUAUAUCCUCGGGUGCGUAAAAAGGAGCUGUGACAGCUCUGGCGACUUUGCUGGGGAGCGAAACCCAGAACUUCGGUUCAAAGUUUAAGAAUUCGAGCUUAGAAUAAGUGUUAUAGUUGGCUUGUUUUAUCUGAUUUUACAUGUUGAGCCUAAUGUGCUAAAUGCCGCUUUUACUGCUUUGAUAUUGUUUGGAUUGUAUAUAAAUUGUUAUGAAACCCUCUUCUCCCUGAGUCUUCUAAAUCAUCUGGGAAGUGCGCACUUCGUGUGACUUCUCUUCUGUUAGAAUCAUAUCCCAAUUUUAGAAUAAGGUUCGGACAAGUUGCAAAGUCGGUGAAGCUUCUAUAUUCCCGGUACGCUGCCCCCCCUAGCUCAAGUUGUCCGCUCAGGUAAGCCAGGUCUAGAACAAAUACACCCAGAUUUUAAACCUAGAAUAACAUAGCCCCAUGCCGGAUCCCUAGUAGGAACGCUUGUUUGCGUCACAUGCAUUUAACUUUGGGGACUCAACACAGGAGUUGAGUCCGUCUAGGACAGGUGUACCCAAAAAUUAAAAGACCAUCCUGAUGCAUCUUAUGUGCUACUUGCGCAUCCAUUUGAUUCGACUUGCAUGUUGACCGACUUCUAGAAUAGGUAAAGAAAAAAUAAUAAAAAAAAUCAAAAUAAAGAGUGAGGUAGAUAUUUAGAAAAUUCUAAAACUCUGCCGAAAUUUUGAAAAAAGAAGAGUCAUUUCAAAAUGAGCCAAAAUUUCAAGUGCCAUGUUUCCCCUUUUCCGUCAAAACUGACCAAACUACGCGGGUCUGAUUCUCACCGGAUGUGAGAUACGUAGGCAAACCUCAUCGGUUCCGACCCCAAUUUUCAAAAAAUCCAAAAAUAUUUUCCUUUAGUUCAUUCUUUAGAAGUCUUUCCUUAGAAAAUGCAAAAAAAAAAAAAAGAGGAAGUUUUCUUUAAACUCAAAAAAAAAAAAAAGUAGUUUCUUUCUUUCUAAAGUCUUUCAUACGGAAAAAUAAAAUAAUGAAAAACAUGAAGGUCCAAAAUACGGGUUUCCUUCAUUUUGAAGUAUUUUUCCGAAAAAAACAAAAUCAGAAACAAAAAUUCAAAAAUAUUCUUUUCUUCUUUAGAAGUCUUUCUUUUGUAAAUGUCCAUUAAAAAUUGAGAAUUUAAAGUCCAAAAAUAUUUUUUCUUUUCUUUAGAAGUGCUUUUAUAAAUAAAUAAAAAGCUCAGAAAUUCAAAAUAUAUAUAUUUGUUUUCUCUUAAAAAGUCCCUCUUUCGAAAAUUAAGAGGCAACAUCCAAAAUCCAAAAAUAUUUUCUUUCUUCUUUAGAAAAAGAGAAAACAAAUAAAAAUUCAAACAAAAAUAUUUUCUUUUUUACUUUUUAAAAUUCCCAAAGUUCAAAUCAAAAUCAAAUGAAUUUUUAGAAGUCCUUCUUUUAAAAACAAAACAAAAAUCAAAAUUCAAAAAAAAGUAUUUCCUCUCUUCUUUUAAAGCAUUUCUUUCAAAAAUUCCAACCAAAAAAAAGUUAGUUUAUUUACUCUAUUCUUGAUCUUCUCGAACUACGCAAGAUCUGAUUCAUGCGGUGUCAUGAUACGUAGGCAAUCCCCAUCGGAUUCGAUCAUAGCUAUAAAAUAAUUGAGUGAAAAAUAAAUUGAAAAAAAAGAGAGAAGAAAAAUUUGAGUGAAAAAGAAAGAAAAGAGCGAAAAAAGGAGCGGCAAGAAAUAAAGAGUGACAAAUAAAAGAGAAAAAGAGAGUGCCAAAAAUAAAAGAGCGGCAAAAAUGAGAUGAAAAAUCAAAAGUGUUCAAAGAGAAGCAGAAAUAAAAGAAAAGAUGUACAUAUGGAAAGAGUUAGUUAAGGCCGGGAUGAAACAUGCAACCAUUCAAACACAUGGUAGAAGCGUUUAACUGUUAGGUGCAUUGUAUCCCAACAUGUGAUUUCCUAUAUAUUAAAUGUCUCAAAGUAACAAGGUUGUGGUGUGAGCAAAUUAGCUAGGUGCUGUUCAGGUGGUUGGUUUUGUUGGUAUGCGGUGAUGAACGCGCAACCUUGUACGCGGCCACAACAUUAUACACAAAACUGAGCUCUACCUCCCAAAAAUGCUCAUUCUUACCAAGCUCCAAAUAAUCCCAAAUCAAAUAUUUCCAGUACAAUCCUCGCCCAAGAGAACCUUUCAAAAGGAAUCAGUUCACCCCUAUUGGUGAAUCAUACUCGGGUUUGUUCCAAAAGCUAGUCUGGCGAGGUCUGCUGCAGCCGGUGGCCCCAAACCGGCCAAACCCCGAGUCCCACUCGCACUAAGAUGACGCUGGACAUGAAUACCACUCUGGAGCAGCGAGACAUAGUACAAAGGACCGUUGGACCCUCAAAAGGGCGGUCGAAGAUUUGGUUGAAGCUGAAAGAAUCGUUUUUCGGGAUGAAGAAGCUCCUGAUGUGAUGAACAAUCUGUUGAAUGCUCACAACAUCGGGCCAAUAGUUGGAAUAAUUCAUGAAGCUGAGGAAUUUGAUCCAGCACUGAAGGCCAUUGCAGCCAUUGUCGAGACAGAAGAAAAGCCAAAAAUGGUCGCAAGCAUGAAAGUUCCCCAUCAUAUGGGAGUCUUAGUAGCCAGUCUUGCUAUCCUUUCUGCAUCCGAAUUAUCUCAGGGUGUGAUCCAGAUGUUUUACCUUAUUGUUUUACUUUCUUAAUCUUGUCAUUUUUCUUUCUUAUUCUCUUUUUAGUUCUGUUAAAUGCAGAUUUCAAUAACAUGACAUGCUUGCGAACUUCAUGCCCAGAUCCUGAAAGUUGUCGGACCUCGAAAUAAUGAAUCAAGAAUUAGAUCGCAAUGAAGAUAAAGUUUAAGAAAAUAAAACAAAGAGUUGGAACAAUUGAAGGAAAAUUGGUUCCCGGAUUGGAAAGGUCCAUAUAUUGCAACAAGAGUACUGCCAAAAGAGUGUGUUGUACUUGGGACACAUCGAAGGAAAUGUUUCUGAAAUAACUAUCAAUGCAAAUACAGUCAAAAGGUACUAUGUUGGAUCCUCCAUAUAGUACUAAUAUCCUCCGGCUGGGAUGACGAAGGCUUUCAUUCUCGCUACCCAAAAACUAUCAACCCUUUGCAAACCCUUUGAGACGGCUCCCAUUCUUUGAUUACCCUAUUUAGAACCUCAAAGUGUUAUUGAAAAAAUAAAUGAAAAAAAAGAAAAAAGAAAAAGAAUACAAAGAAAAGAGGAAGAAAAGACAGAAAAUGAAAGGAAAAAAAAGAGAGGGAAAAGGAAAGGAAAAAGAAAGAGAACAAAACAAAAUAGAAGAAAAAACAAAAGAAAAUCCAAAAACAAAAGUUCCCUGAACUACGUUCGACUUGAUUCCGAAAAGAUACGUAGGCAACCUCUCUCUGGGGUUCAGUUACACCAAAACAAAAAUCCAAUCCCCCCCAAAAAAAGGAAACUGGGGCAGUUAUAUUAGUUCGACGAUGAGCCCGCUUGAACGAUUCCAAAGUUGUAAUUCGAUCCAAAUUCAUUUUACCCAAACCUUGUUCAAGUCCUUCCGACCAAUCGGCGAAAGGUUUUCAAAAUCGGAGAACGCAGUUGUUGGAUCCGAUACAAUCAAGAUGAGAGAAAUAAAAUGAGAGAGUCUUAUUGGUGAAAACCCACGGGCACCAUAAGUCGACGGUGAGCAUAGAAAUUGAAAAUGAGAGAGCCUUGUUAGUGAAAACUCGUAAAAGAGCACUAUAAGGCGAUGGUGAGAAGAGAAAUGAGAGAGGUCGAUUGGUAAAAACCCACAAAGGGCGCCGUUGAUCAAAAAGAAGAAACCCCUCACCACUAUUGGUAUUGAAAGAGUCCUGGCAAGGUUUCUUGUUUUUAGAACACGGGUCGCAAUGGGUUUAUGAGAAGUUGGAUAGUUGUGCAGAUCGGGUAUCUAGUCCAAGAAGCAUAUCAUGUCUAUUGAAGUCUGCACGCACCCGAGAUAUGUCCUUUUUUCCUCCCUGAAAGGGACGUUUCUCUUUAAAUUUAUUUUCUUUGUCCUUUGUUUACUUUUCUUUGAAUCCUUUUCGGUCUAACUCUAUUCCGAAACUAAUACAAAGAAAAUGUGACAAGAUUGGUUUUACAGGGUUUUGCUUAAUAAAAGCCAAGUCCAAAGAAAAGUACCCCAGCCUCAGCGGGUGCAUCAAGUCGAUACCGACUGGACAUGAUAGUCAAUGCUCUAAAUUCAGAGUUGUUGAAAAUGAAAAGAAAUCCAAAGUCAAGAGCCCCUAGAGGUAGAAUAAAGUGAAAGGGCCAAAGCCCCAUACGGUUGAGCCGUCAUGAGAAAUUUUGUAAAGUUGAGUUCCUCGGUAUUAGGGGAGAGAUCAAUCUUCAGAAAAGCCAGCAAGAAGUAGAGGUUCUUACCAGAAGAGUUGGGCCGCGAUCAAGUGAUCAAAACAAUCAAGGCCACACAACCAACCACUGUUUCAAACUAACAAUUGUUCUUUAUUUGAAAAUUUGAAACAGGUGCAAUCUGUAACGACCCGACCGGUCAUUUUGAGCUUUGGACCAUUUUUCAGCGGUUUGAGGCCAUAACAACUUCACUUCAGGUAUUAUGACUUGUACACAUCGUCGAAAUUGAACUUCGGGAAGUUCAAAGUUGAUUUGGAAAGAAAAUUCUCAUUUCAGAAGCUUUAAAUUGAAAGAAUUAGCUAAAAUCAGAUUUUUUGAGUAAACGACCUCGGAAUCAGGAUUCGAAGGUUGCAUCAGGUCUGUAUGAUGAUUUCGAACUUGGGCGUAUGUCCGGGUCGGGUUUUGGAUAACCCGGGAGCGUUUUGUCGCCUAUUGUGGAAGUUAGCAUUUUGAAGGAAUUUUAUAAGUAUGGGUUGAAGCGCAUUUCAGUGUUAUCGAUGUCUGUUUAGGAUUCCGAGUCUGGGAAUAGCUCCAUAUGGUGAUUCUAGAGUUGGGAGCGUGAUCGGAAGUGAAUUCGGAGGUCCGUAAGUCAUUUGGCCAAAGAUAGGAAUUUGAAGGUUUUUGAGAAGUUUGACCAGAAGUGGAUUUUUUGAUAUCGGGGUCGGAAUUCGAUUCCUGAAGUUGGAGUAGGUUCGUAAUGGAAAAUAUGACUUCUGUGCAAAAUUUGAGGUCAAUCGGACGUGAUUUGUUAGGUUUAAACAUCGAAAGUAGAAGUUUGAAAUUUUAAAGUUCAUAAAGCUUGGAUUGGAGGUCGAUUCAUGGUUUUAGUGUUGUUUGAUAUGAUUUGAGGCCUCGAGCAAGUCCGUAAUGUGCUUUGGGACUGGUUGGUAUGAUUGGUUGGGGUUCUGAGGGCCUCGGGUGGAUUCCGGAUGGUUAACGGAUCGAAUUCGGAGUUUGAAGAAGAGCUGAGGUUGCUAGUGUAACCGCACCUGCGAAUCUAGGACUACAGGUGCGGAGUCGCAGAAGCGGCCUUAGGGUUGCAGAUGCAGUAUGGGCGGAAGAGAGCUGGGACUGUAGAUGCGAUCAUUAAAGGGGAGCCUGGAGGAAACCACAGAAACGGUAGGAUUUCUUGCACCUGCAGAACCGCAGAAGCGGUCAAGGGACCGCAGGUGCAGAAAGUGCUGGAGGCAGUGGGUGUUUUAGAAAAAUCGGGGUUUUGGCCAUUUUCUCUAAUAUUUUCUUGGCUUGGGAGAUUCUUGUAGAGUUUCAAGAGGGGAUUUUCAUCAUCAAUGACAAGGUAAGCUAACCCCACCUAUAUUUAGUUAAAUAUAUCGAUUUUGUAUGGAUUUUAGCAUGCAAAUAGGUAGAAACUUGGGGGUUUGAGGAAAACCUAGAAAAUUUGUAUUCUUGGAAUUUGACCACGAUUAUGGGUAUAGAGUUGAGAGAAAAUAUAUUUGAGUUCGUGAGUUCAUGGGUAAACCUUAUCUUCAAAAAUUUGUGGUAUCAUGGCACGUGGACCCGAGGACCUUUUUGUCAACUUUUCGAUCAGGGUUAGGAAUCGUUAUAAAUUGAAUCGUUAUGAGUAAUUGAUCAUAUAUUAAUGGAUUUGCAUAAUUAUUGGCUAGCUUUGGAGCAUUUUGCAUCGAUUCGAGUCUUCGGGAGGGCGUGGAAUGCCGGCUAUGGAUCUUCCGAGCGAGGUAAGUCUCCUUUCUAACUUCGUGAGGGGGAAUUGUCCCCAUAAGUGAACUAAUCAAUUAUGUGCUCCUAUUUGUGGGGGCUACAUACGCAUGAGGUGACGAGAGUCCGUGUGUAGCUACUAAUAUGUGUAAGUCCGGGUAGUCUAGGACCCAAAAAAUGCUAUACUUGGAAUAUUU
rnacentral:lncRNA from 1 species